UAGUAUAGCAUUAUACCGUGAAACUGCGAAUGGCUCAUUAAAUCAGUUAUCGUUUAUUUGAUAGUACCUUACUACUUGGAUAACCGUGGUAAUUCUAGAGCUAAUACAUGCUAAAAACCCCAACUUCGGGAGGGGUGUAUUUAUUAGAUAAAAAACCAAUGCCCUUCGGGGCUCCUUGGUGAUUCAUGAUAACUUCUCAGAUCGCAUAGCCUUGAGCUGGCGACGGUUCAUUCAAAUUUCUGCCCUAUCAACUUUCGAUGGUAAGGUAGUGGCUUACCAUGGUUGCAACGGGUAACGGGGAAUUAGGGUUCGAUUCCGGAGAGGGAGCCUGAGAAACGGCUACCACAUCCAAGGAAGGCAGCAGGCGCGCAAAUUACCCAAUUCCGAUACGGAGAGGUAGUGACAAUAAAUACUGAUACAGGGCUCUUUUGGGUCUUGUAAUUGGAAUGAGUACAAUUUAAACCUCUUAACGAGGAACAAUUGGAGGGCAAGUCUGGUGCCAGCAGCCGCGGUAAUUCCAGCUCCAAUAGCGUAUAUUAAAGUUGUUGCAGUUAAAAAGCUCGUAGUUGAACCUUUGGCCUGGCUGGCAGGUCCGCCUCACCGCGUGCACUUGUCCGGCCGGGCCUUUUCUUCUGGAGAACCGCAUGCCCUUCACUGGGUGUGUUGGGGACCAGGACUUUUACUUUGAAAAAAUUAGAGUGUUCAAAGCAGGCCUUUGCUCGAAUACGUUAGCAUGGAAUAAUAGAAUAGGACGUGCGGUCCUAUUUUGUUGGUUUCUAGGACCGCCGUAAUGAUUAAUAGGGACAGUUGGGGGCAUCAGUAUUCAAUUGUCAGAGGUGAAAUUCUUGGAUUUAUUGAAGACUAACUACUGCGAAAGCAUUUGCCAAAGAUGUUUUCAUUAAUCAGUGAACGAAAGUUAGGGGAUCGAAGACGAUCAGAUACCGUCGUAGUCUUAACCAUAAACUAUGCCGACUAGGGAUCGGGCGGUGUUUCUAAUGUGACCCGCUCGGCACCUUACGAGAAAUCAAAGUGUUUGGGUC
rnacentral:rRNA from 1 species